UGCUUCAGCUCUCUUCCUUGCUCUCUCCUUCACUCUCUCACCCUUUGCUCUUGCAUGUUUGGUGGCAACACCAACAAUUCGUCCAUGAUCUAUAGAAAGGCAACUCUCUCAACCGAUCCAACCACAUGAAAUUUAUUUGUACUAUUGGUUUGAUAAAAAAUUUUGUCCCUGCUAUAAGACUCUAGAUCAACCACAUGUUUUAACAAAGUUGAUGAACUGAGAAAGGAUCUAUGAAACAUUUGGUUUAAAUAGAGAGAAAAAAUAUCUGUGUGCAUCACAAAUCAUGGUCAUCACUGGUAUAGUAGAAAAAGAAGGCGAGGGCUCUAAUCAUUUGAGACGAUGAAAAUUAAUCCACCUCCUAAAGGUAUCAUAUGCAUACAUGUAUGAGAAACUAACACAUGUUACGGGGAACUAAGAGGAUUAAUAAUUAACCAAAGUAAAUUAGGUACAAUUCUUUGACUAGAAUGGAGUCAUAUCAUCCGGGUGAAUCCAAGAUACGAUGGACAAGGUGGAAGGCAGCAGCCCACCAAGGCACCAAAACCCAAAAUAAAUUCUUUUCUUUUUCUGCUCGAGCUCAAUGGUGAUUUGUUCCUUCUACUAUUUUGCUUGAAUGAUUGAUUUUAUCUCUACUCCCCAUGCAUGGUGGAGGCAGACAUGGCAUACUCGAGAGCUUAGUGGUGGCUCGAGAGACCACCUGCCCCCAUUCUUUUAGCCGCAUCUUCAUCAUCUCUAACCAGUCGCCUACAUUUGAAUGGGUCAGAGAUAGAAACUAUAAUCACAUCGCAUGUCGUGAAGUUACUAAGAGCUAAAUAUUCCAUUGCAUUCAGAUCGAUAUAUCAAGAGGUUUCAUUGGCUACAAUAGAGUCUCUCAUCACGUGGCACACGGGAAAAAAGUAAUGUACUACCGGAUUAGAUACGACCACAAGAGGCUGCUAAGAGAAGACUCCUUGAACGACACCACAAACAUGGCGCCACACAAGGACGCUAACCCCUCAAUUGUUAUAGAAAACAUGCAAUUUUUGACUUAUCUACAAUAUAUCAUGCAAUUUUUCUGAUCUUGAAUUUGACUUGCUUCAAACAUAUCAUGCAAUUUUUUGUUGCUCCUGUUGCAACGCAUGGGCA
rnacentral:lncRNA from 1 species